CCUACGGGGGGCAGCAGUGGGGAAUCUUCCGCAAUGGACGAAAGUCUGACGGAGCAACGCCGCGUGUACGACGAAGGCCUUCGGGUUGUAAAGUACUGUCUUCAGGGACGAACGGCAGGUAUGAAAAUAUUGUACUUGCAUGACGGUACCUGAGGAGGAAGCCCCGGCUAACUACGUGCCAGCAGCCGCGGUAAUACGUAGGGGACAAGCGUUGUCCGGAAUCAUUGGGCGUAAAGGGCGCGUAGGCGGAUAAUUAAGUCUGGUGUGAAAACCUAGGGCUCAACCCUGGGACUGCAUCGGAAACUGGUGAUCUUGAGGACAGGAGAGGAAAGUGGAAUUCCACGUGUAGCGGUGAAAUGCGUAGAUAUGUGGAGGAACACCAGUGGCGAAGGCGACUUUCUGGACUGUAACUGACGCUGAGGCGCGAAAGCGUGGGGAGCAAACAGGAUUAGAUACCCUGGUAGUCCCU
rnacentral:rRNA from 1 species